AAAAAGGCAAACCCUGGGUUUGCGUGUCCAACUUUGACUGUCCGUCUUAUAUAAAUUUUUUUUAUAAUUCGUAUUUUUAUUGGUGUCAGAUGAUAAAACAUGAUUAAUACUUUAUGCGUGACUUGUUUUUUUAAUUUUUUUAUAAUUUUUUCAAAUAAGACAGACGGUCAAAUAUUGGACAUGGAAAUUAGGGUUUAUCUUUUU
rfam:Oryza nivara chromosome 3, whole genome shotgun sequence.